AUGAUGAUGUUACUGACUCUACUGCUGACCAUCCUGGAGCUCCUGGUUCAGGGUUCUUCAGGAGACAUCGUCCUGAAUCAGACUCCUGCAGCUCAGUCUGCUGUUCAGGGACAGACCGUCUCCAUCAGAUGUAAAUCUGACAGAAGUAUAGGUGAUGACAUCAACUGGUACCUGCAGAAACCUGGAGGAGCUCCAAAACUCCUGUUUUAUGAUACCACAGAGCGUCAGUCUGGAGUCCCUGAAAGGUUUCGUGCAACAGCACAACAGACUGACUUCACACUGAUAAUCAUUGGAGUUCAGGCUGAGGAUGGAGGAGUUUACUAUUGUCAGCAGCGUAACAGCCUCCCAUUCACACAGUGA